rnacentral:lncRNA from 1 species
AGCAGGCAAUGGCGCCGGAGAGGAGUCUAGAAGGGAGAUCCCGCUCAGGUCAAUUUCGGGGUACUUAGCCGACACCCUUGUCAGGCCUUCCUCGAAGCCUAAAAUAAAGGAAUCGGACCCCGCGUCCGACAUGUCACGGACGAACUCGUCAGACUGACGAUAGGCCUGUACCGCCUCCGACAUAUCACGGGUGAACUCGGCGGACUGACGAUAAGCCUGUACCGCCUGACGCCCGAUUUCCGCACUCUUCUCGGCCAGCGCCGCCUCUGCCCGCUCCAUAAAUAGGCGAAAAGGCGGAUGACGCCUCGAUGACGCCAGA